rnacentral:rRNA from 1 species
UUCAAUAAGCGGAGGAAAAGAAACCAACAGGGAUUGCCCUAGUAACGGCGAGUGAAGCGGCAACAGCUCAAAUUUGAAAUCUGGCUUCGGCCCGAGUUGUAAUUUGCAGAGGAAGCUUUAGGCGCGGCACCUUCUGAGUCCCCUGGAACGGGGCGCCAUAGAGGGUGAGAGCCCCGUAUAGUUGGAUGCCUAGCCUGUGUAAAGCUCCUUCGACGAGUCGAGUAGUUUGGGAAUGCUGCUCAAAAUGGGAGGUAAAUUUCUUCUAAAGCUAAAUACCGGCCAGAGACCGAUAGCGCACAAGUAGAGUGAUCGAAAGAUGAAAAGCACUUUGAAAAGAGGGUUAAAUAGCACGUGAAAUUGUUGAAAGGGAAGCGCUUGUGACCAGACUUGCGCCGGGCAGAUCAUCCGGUGUUCUCACCGGUGCACUCUGCCCGGCUCAGGCCAGCAUCGGUUCUCGCGGGGGGAUAAAGGCCCUGGGAACGUAGCUCCUCCGGGAGUGUUAUAGCCCGGGGCGUAAUGCCCUCGCGGGGACCGAGGUUCGCGCAUCUGCAAGGAUGCUGGCGUAAUGGUCAUCAGCGACCCGUCUUGAAACACGGACCAAGGAGUCAAGGUUUUGCGCGAGUGUUUGGGUGUAAAACCCGCACGCGUAAUGAAAGUGAACGUAGGUGAGAGCUUCGGCGCAUCAUCGACCGAUCCUGAUGUUUUCGGAUGGAUUUGAGUAGGAGCGUUAAGCCUUGGACCCGAAAGAUGGUGAACUAUGCUUGGAUAGGGUGAAGCCAGAGGAAACUCUGGUGGAGGCUCGCAGCGGUUCUGACGUGCAAAUCGAUCGUCAAAUCUGAGCAUGGGGGCGAAAGACUAAUCGAACCAUCUAGUAGCUGGUUACCGCCGAU